CACAUAAUUAUAUAUAUAGAGAGUCCGGCCGGAAUGCUAUCGAUAGCACAAAACAUUUGGUGCUAUCAAAUUUUUUGUCGUUAGAUUUAGCUUUUUAUUAUUUUCAUCCGUUCAAUUAUAUUAUUCAACUAACCACCCACUCAACCCUAGAGGGCCCACAUCAUUCUAACCGCUCAUCUUUUAAUCUAAGGAUAGAAAACUUAAUAGCACCAAGUCAUUGGUGCUGUCAUUGGUGCUAUUAAUAGUAUUCCAGCCUAGUUCU
rnacentral:lncRNA from 1 species